rnacentral:rRNA from 1 species
CUUGCUCUCUGGGUGGCGAGUGGCGGACGGGUGAGGAAUACAUCGGAAUCUACUCUGUCGUGGGGGAUAACGUAGGGAAACUUACGCUAAUACCGCAUACGACCUACGGGUGAAAGCAGGGGACCUUCGGGCCUUGCGCGAUUGAAUGAGCCGAUGUCGGAUUAGCUAGUUGGCGGGGUAAAGGCCCACCAAGGCGACGAUCCGUAGCUGGUCUGAGAGGAUGAUCAGCCACACUGGAACUGAGACACGGUCCAGACUCCUACGGGAGGCAGCAGUGGGGAAUAUUGGACAAUGGGCGCAAGCCUGAUCCAGCCAUACCGCGUGGGUGAAGAAGGCCUUCGGGUUGUAAAGCCCUUUUGUUGGGAAAGAAAUCCAGCUGGCUAAUACCCGGUUGGGAUGACGGUACCCAAAGAAUAAGCACCGGCUAACUUCGUGCCAGCAGCCGCGGUAAUACGAAGGGUGCAAGCGUUACUCGGAAUUACUGGGCGUAAAGCGUGCGUAGGUGGUCGUUUAAGUCCGUUGUGAAAGCCCUGGGCUCAACCUGGGAACUGCAGUGGAUACUGGGCGACUAGAGUGUGGUAGAGGGUAGCGGAAUUCCUGGUGUAGCAGUGAAAUGCGUAGAGAUCAGGAGGAACAUCCAUGGGCGAAGGCAGCUACCUGGACCAACACUGACACUGAGGCACGAAAGCGUGGGGAGCAAACGGGAUUAGAUACCCCUGGGUAGUCCACGCCCUAAACGAUGCGAACUGGAAUGUUGGGGUGCAAAUUUGGGCACGCAGUUAUCGAAGCCUAACGGCGUUUAAGUUUCGCCGCCCUGGGGGAGUUACGGUUCGCAAGGACUGAAAACUCCAAGGGAAUUUGACGGGGGGUCCCGCCACAAAGCGGGUGGGAGUAAUGUGGGUUUAAAUUUCGGAUGCCAACGUCGAAAGAAACCUUUACCCUGGGCCUUUGAACAUGUUCGAGAACUUUUCCAGGAGGAUGGGAUUGGGUGGCCUUUCGG